AAUAGAUUAAUAUAAUUAACUAUCGUUUAUUUUUUAUCAUUUCUCCCGUUUGAGAACUCGAUUCUGAGGAGAUAGACUGCAACUUCAUUUUUCAAGGGGGUCGAUCUUUUGUUUGACCAAUACUCGUUUUGAACACUUGACAACUACAUAUGACUGAACUUUUACCAAGGGAGGCUAUCUUUCUUAUGGAUCAAAUGCUGAUAACAAACUUUGGAAAGUAGCAUAUAGUCCAUCCAACAAAACAUCAAUUGACGAUGCAUACUGAGGAGCCAAGGGACUAGCAUCGUAGAUUGGAUUGCAAAAAUAAAUGAUUGUAACAUUGGAGGCUCAAAUGUGCCUCGAUAAGAAAACAGUUCUGCUAUGUGUUUCAUUAAAGCGUGAUGACUAGUAAGAUAUAUUAUUUCGAAACCUUUUCUUAAUUUUUUUGGGAAAUUGAGCCAAAGAAACAAGCAAUAAAGCAUAAAUUUACUAUUAAAAUGUUUGAGCUUAUAUUGUACAUCGAAAACAAGAAAGAGAAGAAGAGGAAGAGAAUUUAGGGUAAAAGAAUUAUCAAUUUGUUUCAUAUAUCAAAGUAUAAAUGUAACGAUCCGAUCUCUAUGUCCAAGCUAUUAAUUUACGUAUUAUCCGCUAUGAAUGAGCUUAGCUUGUCUCACCCCUCAUGGCGCGUCCCCAUGAUUCGAAUCCAAGACCUUUCUGUUAAGAGAGAUUUAAGUUGAAUUUUGGUACGAAUUGGACCUUUUUCCUAAGAGAUAAGUUAAAUCUUGGUACAAAUUGGACAACUCACUAGAGUUUGUCUAUUUUUAGAAAUUCUGAACACGACUAGUGAUCACUAUCUUGAUUUCAAACAAAUUCAUAUCCCGGCAUAAGCUACACCAAACAUGAAAUAAU
rnacentral:lncRNA from 1 species